UUCAACCCAUGUGCUUUUCAUUCUUCUGUUGCAUCUGGACAAAGCUGUUUCAUUAAUUUCAUGACGUCGUAUCUCUCUUUGAACUCUUGAUUUUUCUUGGUCAGUCGAUUCCGUCUAUGACUCUUUAUUUCCCAUGGUCAGUUAGUUCUGCCUGUGACCCUUGAUUUCUCCUGGUCAGUGAGUUCUGCCUGUGACCCUUGAUUUCUCUUGGUCAGUGAGUUCUGUCUGUGACCCCUGAUUUCUCUUGGUCAGUGAGUUCCGUCUAUGCCUCUUGAUUUUUCUUUGUCACUGCGUUCCGUCUGUGACUCCUUUGUUUAUAAAAUUAGAAAUCGGUCUUGACUACUGCGUAAUUGCCAUGGCUCGGGUAAACGCAUUCAUCUUCAGUUCUAUUGUUCCUAGACGGAUAUGCCAUGCAGUCAAAUAUUUUCAUCAAGAAUGUAGAGAGGUGUUUAGAAAUUGGAUGAUUCAAGGAAGAACAAGAUUUGAAUUUUGCAUAGAAAUCUGUGUUUUAGAAUUUACUGCUUUUGUUGUGGCACCCUAUACGAUAAUGUCUAUGCCUAGCAAGUAUUUGGUUGUACGAGGUUUAUUUGCGAUAAAUUGGUUUGACGCUACCUUCUAAGCUUAUAUUUUAUGGGAAUGAAGUUACCUCCCUAACCUUUACAGCGAAUCGACACAAAAUGGUCAUAUAUCGCCGAGCAGACAUUUUAACGUCUUAAAUGUAAAGAUAUCGGUGACUGCAAAUACAAUUUCUAACUUUCUGCAAAAGAAAAUCGCAACAGCAUCGUGUAAAAAUUUUGUUAUAGUUAAGUGAUCUAUCAGUAAAAUGAAAGUCAAUUAGUCAAUUAAAUUUAAAAUAAACACAAUUUUGUCUAUGUCAUAGGGCGUAAUAUAAGAAGUUUCUAAGGUCUAUAAUAUCAGCGUAGUUUAUAUCAUAUUCCAAUAUUCUAUCCUUCAUUAUCCUCUAUGACCCAUACAUUCCAAUACAAUAUUCCACUGACGGAUGCCGUACCAUACAAAACAUAAACGUCACAUAACCAAUCCCGUGAACACCUUUGUGAUUGUUGUCCGCCAUUAUAAGAUAGAUAAAUUGAUUGUUAUUGUAUUACAAUAAAUAUAUUAUACACAUAUUUAGUAUUUACAGUUACCGACUUCCUCAUACAGAACCCACGUGUAAUAAAAACAUAAAAAUGUUCCCCGUGACAUUUAGGAUAGUCAUAAAUUGGUUUUGAUAAUAUCAUACCAUUCUAACCCCCCAGCAUAAGGAAAAGUUUAAACGCUCUAAUGGUAACAUUUGGCCAUACCCUAUUAAUUGAAGGAGCCCGUGCAAAAAGGUACCUAUCUCCAUUUUUGGUCAAAAUAGAGUUAGGGCAUUUAUGGCAUAAAAAUGAACAUUCCGCACCUGAUUAACUCCCCCCAGCAGCGUUUUCUUCUGUUUAAGAGUGGAAAAAAUGGUAUUUCACUUAUGCAACAUUGGGUCUAACUCCACAAUGAGUUUACAUCAAUGAGUUCGGGGCUUUGAUGGCUGUUUCGGUUAAUGAAAAGAACAUAAGCCUAAUGUAAAUAGACUAUAUCAGUAAUUUUAAAAGUCAUCAGGUAUGUGAAAUUAAUACAUUGCAUUGAUAUAUUUAGGCAAAAAUUAUUCGCAAAUCAUAGUUUAAAUGCAACAAUGGUCCUAACUCCAUGGACUUAGAACCUUUGUUGCAUAACUCCAUGGGCUUAGAACCCUUGUUGCAUGAACACAGUCGACAAAAACAAGAGUUUUUGUUAUAAAAAUGAUAUAUAUAGUGCUGCAAAAUACACGAAACGACUGUUUAAAUAGUAUACAAUCUACAGCUGCAAUUAUUUUGGGAAAUAUCAUAUUUUACCGAAAUUUUACAAAAAUGCGUUUUCCCAACAUUUUUACUAAAUGGAGAUAGGUACCUUUUUGCAGGGACCCCUUCAAUUUAAAAAUGUUACAUACUUCACCAAAAUAAUUAUGACAUCAGGUUUGCGUUUAAAAAUAUGUAAGAAUUCUUCUGUCAUAUUUCGCUGUAUCAUCUAUCUUCUAGUAAUGAACCUAAAUGGAAAUCAGCGGUACUCCUGACAUAGUAUAUUCCUCCAGUAAAAAUUGUAUAUAGAACUUUCUCUGAGAUCACGCUUUCAAUUUCAUUUGUUAUUAAAGCAAUAAUAAAUAAUUUUUGCAAAGCGUCUCAGAUUGAUUAAAACUAAAGAUAUUUUCUGAUUAAAAUAUCCGUCUUUUAAGUUACAACUGAAUGCAUGUGCUAAUUAAUUGUAAUAUACAUGCUAACGACAAUUUAGAAAAUGAAUAAAAUAUUCAAAAUAUAAUUAAGGGAAACAGUAGGAAAUUCACAAAUGAAUAAAAAUUAAAAUAUAUUGAAUUUCUAACACUAGUUCUGUUUGAAAAGUUUAGACAUCUUAUAUUUCGGUUUAAUCAGUAAGGUACGGUAACCAUAAUAAAAUUCUUUUCUGUCUGUCUCGUAUUUUGUGUUGCGUAUGUUGUGUUGUUGUUGGCGUUUCGUUCUUCUUUUUCCUCACUACCACCCCCAUCGCCCCUCCAAUCCUUUGCCCUUGCAUUUGCACCCCAUCUCCUUUUACUGGGAAUAAGUUAUCGGGCCCACCAUAAUUUCGGCCUCUGGACGUCCGUAUGCGGUGCCCAACUGUUGUCUAUUCCUGCGUGUGUGUGUGCGUGUGUGUGUGUCUGUGUGUGUCUUGGGCGGUGCCCCACAGUGUUGUUUGUCUUAAUUAUGUGUAUGUUAGUUGUGUGAGUGCGUAUGUCUUUUGUAUGUGGAUGUCUGCGCUGAUGUGGUUUACUUUGUAAGGGUUACUGCGUGUAAGGAAUGUGGUUUUUCGUUUUGAAUAUUCAUCGUUGCUCCAUUUUCCGGAAAGGCAAAUUAAAUUAAAUUAAAAGUAGAAAAAUGUACAAUUUCCACAUACAUAAAAAUGCUGAUCAAUGCUGUUCUUCUGUUCGCUUAAGUGAAUAUUAAAUUAUUUUUAUGGUAUGGGUUCUAUGGUGGUGGCAACUGUGAAGGUUAUGGUAUGUGUUUUUGCGGUGGCUGCAGCGGGCGAAAAAUGCGGAGGCGAAAGAGGCAGUUGUGUAGGCGAUUAUGGUAUGGGUCAAUGAGCGGCUAUGAUAUUGGCAAUUGGGGAGUCUGUGGUAUAUGGGCUCCUGUGGCUGGAGGGGGAGUAUGCGCAGCUACUGUGGUAUUGGCGGUUUUAAUAUUGAAUGUACGCUCGUACCAGUCCGAAGACCCCCAUUUACGAGACACUAUAGCAUCUAUAAUGAGAUCACAAUACAAGCAUAUUUACCAAUGCAAUGUUGCUUCUUCAGUUAGUCUUCACCUGUAAGACACAUAUAUACACUGUGGUGUAUAUUGCAUGCACUUAUAAAUAUGUCGCGUAAUGAGCACUACUUUAAUGGAGGGUGCGUCUAUCAAAAGAGGCGAAUAUUACCCGAUGCGAUAUAAGGUAAAUUUAUGAAGCCGAAGCCUCUCCCUAUACGCAUACAUGCGCAGAUGAUCCGAAUUCCCUUUCGGAAAGAAAAGGAAGAUCUUACCAUAAUCACAGGUGUACGUUGUGUCCACAGCGACAAGGUGUAGAGACCGUACUGUCAAAACAUUUAAAUUUUUUGCUUAAAUCUGGACAAAGCUCGCUGUCUUUGUCGUUCACCUGCUGCUAAAAGGGCAAAUAUAAAAGAGUCGAUGUUAGUUAUAUUUCACUGGUACUACCGGUUAAUAAUUUCAUACUCUAACAAACACGCCAGAGAAAUUUAGGUAGUUUUGACCGAUUAAAAUACUGGCCAAACUAGAUUAUAUAUAUAUAUUUUUUUUACACGAAAAUUGCCGUUAGAUAAUAAAGCGGAUACGCCGAUCCUCGGGAGUACACCGAACACGUUAUUGUCACGAAAAGUUCACCUAAAAUGCCCAGCUAUAGUCACUGCCGUUAUACAGAAUAUAAUCUGGAAAGAAGAUCCCUCGGAAGCACCGAGAACAAUGCAAACAGUGAAAAUUGCGGACUCGGUUUGAUUGAGUCUGUUCAUGAGCAGUAAUGGCAAAUGAAACACUGCCCACGCCCCCUAGCACCGGCUUAAGCAGUAUUUAAUUUUAAAAUCUAAAGCGGAAGUGGAAGAGUGUCUGCCUUUUGUGUCAGAGGUCCUUGGUUCGAGACCCGGUCAGAGCUGAAAUAUUUGCAUUCUGUUACAUUAUGAAUUUGUAGGUUAUCAGACUGUUCCAGAUAUUCUACAUUUUUAGAGAACAGUAUCAUGGAUCAUUACUUAUCAAUCCAGAUCACUGCUGAAUGUUAAAUGAAAUACACCCAAAUAGAAAUUA
rnacentral:lncRNA from 1 species